AAGAAAGUGACAGAGUGGUUAUGUAACUGGCUUGAAACUAGUUUAUGGGGGUUCGAUUCCUUCCUUUCUCGUUAGUUUGUCUG
rnacentral:tRNA from 1 species